rnacentral:misc_RNA from 1 species
UUUCCGUAGGUGAACCUGCGGAAGGAUCAUUAACCUUUCAAAAAACAGGGUGCGUCGCGGCCCCCCUCCGGGGGCGGUUUGGGGUCCUCCCCUUCACGCGCGCACGACUGCAUCCUUACUUUACGAGCACCUUCUGUUCUCCCUCGGCGGGGCAACCUGCCGUUGGAACUUAACAAAACCUUUUUUUGCAUCUAGCAUUACCUGUUCUGAUACAAACAAUCGUUACAACUUUCAACAAUGGAUCUCUUGGCUCUGGCAUCGAUGAAGAACGCAGC